UAAAUAUUCCCAUCCCCGGAAUUCUACGGAAGGGAAUAUCCUUCAACCGGAAUAAAAACCUAUGCAUUAACAUUUUGACUACGAUAUUACAUGUUACCGGAAGUUGCGUAAGCGGAAAUUCCACUACCCGUAACCCGGAUGGAGGUGUAAUGCCGCGGGAGCUUAAAUACAUGCAACGCCCACCCGAUGCGAUGGAAAAGACAACGGUGAAACAGCUUUUCACUUCGCAUUUUUCGAUCAUCAGAUUCUAAACGACGACGUGCAAGUGAGUUUUUAUUGCCGUGCGUUUUACUGUAAUUGUGAAUUAUUUUAACUUUAUUCACUUACGUCCUGUAGAACGCGGCACUGGCUUAAAAGCAGCACCCACUCGACAUGACCGAAGAAACGUGUUCGCUUCGCCGUUUUCAUUCAUCAGAUUCGAAGCGAAGACGUGUCAUCGCAUCGAAACGUAGAAGAACUGUAACAACUGGAGCGGAGCGAGUGAAAUGCAUCCGUUUGAGCGAGGCUGGACACAAAGUUAAAAAGAUCCAGCAGACACUUGGGGUCGGAAAGACGCAAAUCUACGAAACUUUAAACAACAAGGCAUCGAUUCAACUCCUGAUGACAAGCCACCAUCCAGCAAGGAAGCAAUGCAAAUGGCAAAAUACUUCAGUAUGCACAAGAAUUACCAGACAUCGGUGAUCAACGGGACAGUUACUUGCAACUAGCAAGAGAACUGUAUGACACGCAGGCAAACAAUGUCAUAAACCAAAGAAUGCAUCCAACAAAACAAUCCAAAAUACAUAUUUUUUCCCCAAGACAGAAAAAAAUAAACAUUAAAAUACUGUACGUAUUUUACUGUUGUGAUUUUUUUGGGAUACACCUGAAUUGCAGUUUUUGUUAUAUAAACAGUUUUUGGACAGUA